rnacentral:tRNA from 1 species
GCAUCCAUAGCUCAGUGGAUAGAGUACUCGGCUACGAACCGAGUGGUCGGAGGUUCGAAUCCUUCUGGAUGCGCCA